rnacentral:rRNA from 1 species
UACGAAGGGGGCUAGCGUUGUUCGGAAUUACUGGGCGUAAAGCGUGCGCAGGCGGUUAUGCAAGACAGAUGUGAAAUCCCCGGGCUCAACCUGGGAACUGCAUUUGUGACUGCAUAGCUGGAGUGCGGCAGAGGGGGAUGGAAUUCCGCGUGUAGCAGUGAAAUGCGUAGAUAUGCGGAGGAACACCGAUGGCGAAGGCAAUCCCCUGGGCCUGCACUGACACUGAGGAGCGAAAGCCAGGGGAGCAAACGGG